GAUGAACGCUGGCGGCGUGCCUAAUACAUGCAAGUCGAGCGAACGGACGAGAAGCUUGCUUCUCUGAUGUUAGCGGCGGACGGGUGAGUAACACGUGGAUAACCUACCUAUAAGACUGGGAUAACUUCGGGAAACCGGAGCUAAUACCGGAUAAUAUUUUGAACCGCAUGGUUCAAAAGUGAAAGACGGUCUUGCUGUCACUUAUAGAUGGAUCCGCGCUGCAUUAGCUAGUUGGUAAGGUAACGGCUUACCAAGGCAACGAUGCAUAGCCGACCUGAGAGGCUGAUCGGCCACACUGGAACUGAGACACGGUCCAGACUCCUACGGGAGGCCGCAGUAGGCAAUCUUCCGCAAUGGGCGAAAGCCUGACGGAGCGACGCCGCGUGAGUGAUGAAGGUCUUCGGAUCGUAAAGCUCUGUUAUUAGUGAAAAACAUAUGUGUAAGUAAGUGUGCACAUCUUGACGGUACCUAGUCAGAAAGCCACGGCUAACUACGUG
rnacentral:rRNA from 1 species